rnacentral:lncRNA from 1 species
GGCACUGACGCUCUUCUGUGCCUGCGCUCAGGGGAGGGCAAAGUCCACCCUGAAUCACGUGCAGCCCCACGGGGCGGCGACAGCCUCCUCACCCGGCCCCCAGCUCGGCUUCCUUCCCCUGUAAAAGUAUGGGUGCCACGGACUGCAUACGCUGGGGACUUUUGGAGCAAGACAGGCUCGACCCGGGAGAGGAAACGCCUCGUCUGUUUGCUGGACUGCACUGCACAGCCUUGUUUUCUGGCUGUUUCUGUCCGUUGCCGGCUCAAUGACUUUUGAAAUGCAAGAGAGAGGAUGCAUGCUACAGUCUUUUACAUUCGCUUCACCCAAUUGGUCUAGCUGUUUGCAGUUGUAGCAGCGAAGCCUUAUCUCGUCUGCAUAUGAUGUUCAAAAAGGGCCUGCUGGAAGAUCCAAGUCCAGUCUGCACUCUUGAAGCACCUGCUGUGCAGGAGGUGAAUGUUGACAGAAGGGAAGCUGAAUGGACUCAAUCAACACGCAUGGAGAAGAUGGGUGCAGUGGUGAGAGAUAUGCAGCCUGUUGCUGAAGGACUGGAUGAAAUCAUCGUUCAGGGGUUGAUAGUCUGCAAAAGCUUCAUAGACUCUGUACAAUAUAAGGAGGUUGUGCAGAUGGAAGUUGUUUUAUAUGUACCUCAUAAUAAUUUUCUUAGUAAAACAAGCAGACUCUUGCUGUUCCUUCAUGAAAUAAAAAUGGGCUAGUGCCCAUUUUCCAUUUUUCACCUUGACUCAUUGUUUAUCUUUACUUUCUUUGGAGGGAAUUAGGGGGAAGA